rnacentral:lncRNA from 1 species
GCAGGGGCGGACCCCGGGGGGGGGGGGGGGGCUGCAGCCCCCCGAGAGCUCGAUUUUGCCUCUAAAAUACUGUAGACAAAACCUCAAAUCACUAUGAAUUUCUAGCUCUAGCCCUUAAUCUCUACUAUUUAGCUCCCCCUCGAGGUGUUCAUCUUUGUUCCGCCCCUGGGUGGAGGUGAUGGACAUGGGUGACGAGGUGCCUAGGUGGUGCCGCUGGUCAGGUGGUGGAGGAGGGCAGUUUGGCAGUGCUAGGAUAGGGACAAGGACGGUGGUGGUGGGAGGCAGCAGCAAGAGGGGAAGGAAAAGGUAGCUGCCGCGACGGGCUAGGGUUCUGCUGGAGCUUCACAUCGGCUGAUCGGCUCCGCUGGCAUGAAGCUCUAAUGAGACCAUAACCCGCCGUGGCGAGGGGAGUUAAAGAGCGGCAGCAAGGAUAAGGGAGCUCAAUGGAUGGAGAAGAAAACGAGAGCAAGAAGAUGCAAUCGCGAGGUAGAUUAUGGAACGUGGGACAUUGGAUGCCGACCUAACAACCAAAAAAAUAUGAGCCAUUAUUCCCUCUUUUCCAUUACAUAAACCCCAUGGAAACAAUAACACAGUUGAACACGAGUAGGCUCUGAAUUUGCUCGUCAUGACGCACGAACAAGUGAGCGGCGGAAUCCGUACUUUAGCAGCUUGGUGAGAGGAGGGAGUGGGCGAGAGGCAGAGGCGUCUUGUGGGGCGUGGAGUAAUUGUGGACACCAUGACUCGUGAGCGAGCUG